CACACAAUGCUGAUCAAAGUGGAGGCCCUCUGCAAUCCUUGACUGGAAAGUGCGUCUUCCAUUUUGUUUGUAU
rnacentral:miRNA from 1 species